rnacentral:rRNA from 1 species
UGACCUCUAAUCACGUAGGAAUACCCGAUGAAGUUAGGAAUAUCAAUAAGCGGAGGAA